CCUUGGGCAAAGAUAUUCACCACUGGCCCAAGAUUUGAUGUCACAUUUCACUCAGAAAAGGAGAAAGACCCUGACCUCCACCCUGGCAGAGAUCUUUCAUCAGGGGAUUUCACUGGGUAACUUACCAGUGGUGCCCAAACAGUGUUCCUACAGACAAAUAUUCUGCAAUAUGGAUACAUAAAGCUGUUUCCCUCUGUUCCCUUUAGUCUAAGAAACACUGAUCAGAUCCAAGAGCUGAAAACUAAAAAUAUUGGCAUUUUGAUGCUGUAUUGUAUCAGACUCUGCUAUAAGGUACUCAGUAUCAAGGUCAGAGGUGGCAAAAAUUGUCUGCAAAAUGUAUGUAUCUAUGUAUUUAUCUAUCCAUUUAUCUAUCUGUCUAUUCAUUCAGUCACCCACCAUACAUCCAUUCAUUUAUCCAUUCAUCUGUUUAUACAUUUCCUGAGCAUCUACUACACACUUGACCUAAUGCUAGCACCUAGAGAAGUGAAUCAGAUUUUGGACUAGACUGAUUAUGAUUACAUCUAUUUUACCCAUUGUAGGCAUGUUUCAUUAGCAAAAUAAUUUUAUUAAUGACAUAUUUAAAUCUCACAAACAGCUGAAGAACACAAUGAAAAGAACAGUAUCUUCGUAACAUAUCUUUAUAGACAACAGCCUGUAUUCAUAAGUUUAAUUCUAUCUAACUCUCUUCCAACUUAGACUAUAUUUAGAUUGAUCAUUGCUUUCUCUCUGCAAAUUUCAGCACAUCAUUCUGUGGUGUUCUGGCUUCCCUUGUUGCUGCCCAACUAAAUGUUUUGUUUUGUAUUGUGUUUUGUAUGAAAUCUGCCCUAUCACUUCUUGCUGCUUUUAGGAUUUCCCCUUUAUCCUUGCUGUUCUCCAGUUUUUCCAUAAUGUGUUUUGGUCUUAUUUUCUUGUAUGUAUCAAGCUUGCAAACUAGUUUCUUCCAGAUCCUAAGGAUUCAAGUGUCGCAUUCGUCCUUGCAUUUCUUGGUCUCUUUGGAUCACGCUUUUCUAAUUUCUUGUUAAUUAAUUUUCUUUUUAAUGGCAUCUAUUCCUGGAUCCAUUCUU
rnacentral:lncRNA from 10 species